rnacentral:siRNA from 1 species
GAGCCUCCCCAAAUCAAAUGGUAC